CUGAGGUCUUGCAGUUUCCACAGCGAUAAAAUGAAGUCAGUAUGAGGUGUGACAGGCACAGGAGAAGCAGCUCCUGCACUCAGGAAGGUACAGUGGGCCCGUGUCCAAGAGCAUUGAGCCAAAGCUGGACCACGAUUCCACACUGCAUGGUGGUAGAGUAACAGUGUGGCAUACUUCUGCUGUAAGUAAUAUGUCGCUUGCCUUCUAAACGGAGAGUCUUGCAACUAAGAACAGAGUAAACUAAAAACAUUUUGAAUGCCUAUCGUGCCAACAUCAAUAAAGGCUGUUGAUUAGAAAGCAAAA